rnacentral:rRNA from 1 species
AUUGAACGCUGGCGGCAUGCCUUACACAUGCAAGUCGAACGGUAACAGGGAGCUUGCUCCGCUGACGAGUGGCGAACGGGUGAGUAAUGUAUCGGAACGUACCUUUUAGUGGGGGAUAACGUAGCGAAAGUUACGCUAAUACCGCAUAUUCUCUGAGGAGGAAAGCAGGGGACCUUCGGGCCUUGCGCUAAUAGAGCGGCUGAUAUCAGAUUAGCUUGUUGGUGAGGUAAAGGCUCACCAAGGCGACGAUCUGUAGCGGGUCUGAGGGGAUGAUCCGCCACACUGGACCUGAGACACGGUCCAGACUCCUACGGGAGGCAGCAGUGGGGAAUUUUGGACAAUGGGGGCAACCCUGAUCCAGCCAUGCCGCGUGAGUGAAGAAGGCCUUCGGGUUGUAAAGCUCUUUCGGCCGGGAAAAAAUCGCAUGGGUUAAUACCCUGUGUGGAUGAUGGUACCGGAAUAAGAAGCACCGGCUAACUACGUGCCAGCCGCCGCCGUAA